GUGGGGAAUUUUGGACAAUGGGCGCAAGCCUGAUCCAGCAAUGCCGCGUGUGUGAAGAAGGCCUUCGGGUUGUAAAGCACUUUUGUCCGGAAAGAAAUCUCCUGGGUUAAUACCUCGGGGGGAUGACGGUACCGGAAGAAUAAGCACCGGCUAACUACGUGCCAGCAGCCGCGGUAAUACGUAGGGUGCGAGCGUUAAUCGGAAUUACUGGGCGUAAAGCGUGCGCAGGCGGCUAUGCAAGACAGAUGUGAAAUCCUCGGGCUCAACCUGGGAACUGCAUUUGUGACUGCAUGGCUAGAGUGCGUCAGAGGGAGGUGGAAUUCCGCGUGUAGCAGUGAAAUGCGUAGAGAUGCGGAGGAACACCGAUGGCGAAGGCAGCCUCCUGGGAUGACACUGACGCUCAUGCACGAAAGCGUGGGGAGCAAACAGGAUUAGAUACCCGGGUAGUCC
rnacentral:rRNA from 1 species